AGGGUUUGAUCCUGGCUCAGGACGAACGCUGGCGGCGUGCUUAACACAUGCAAGUCAAGGAGAACGGAUCCUUCGGGAUACUAUUAAACUGGCGAACGGGUGAGUAACGCGUAGGCAACCUGCCUUGGAGAUUGGGAUAACCCCGGGAAACCGGAGCUAAUACCAAAUAAUGCAGCGGAUCCUUCGGGAUAUGUUGUUAAAGUGGGCUUCGGCUCACACUUCAAGAUGGGCCUGCGUCCGAUUAGCUUGUUGGUGAGGUAAUGGCUCACCAAGGCGAUGAUCGGUAGCUGGUCUGAGAGGAUGAUCAGCCACACUGGGAUUGAGAUACGGCCCAGACUCCUACGGGAGGCAGCAGUGGGGAAUUUUGCGCAAUGGACGAGAGUCUGACGCAGCAACGCCGCGUGAUCGAUGAAGCUUCUAGGGGUGUAAAGAUCUGUCGUGAGGGAAGAAAAAUCUGGAUGUAAAUAAUGUUCAGACGUGACGGUACCUCACAAGAAAGCACCGGCUAACUUCGUGCCAGCAGCCGCGGUAAUACGAGGGGUGCUAGCGUUGUCCGGAAUUACUGGGCGUAAAGGGUUCGUAGGCGUCUUGCCAAGUUGAUCGUUAAAGCCACCGGCUUAACCGGUGAUCUGCGAUCAAAACUGGCGAGAUAGAAUAUGUGAGGGGAAUGUGGAAUUCCUGG
rnacentral:rRNA from 1 species